GGCAAGUGGGAGUUCUAGGGCCUGCCCCAGGCCUGUGGAGCCGGAAGCUCUGGGGGCAGGGCCAGCAAGCUAUAAGGACAGGCCUCCGGGUGACUGUGAUGCCUGCACACCUUGAGAAUCAUCGGCCCAGAUAGCCUCUGAACACUAACGGCUCCUGGUGCAUCUGGAGAAGACACAGGCCAUGUCUGGGAGGCAGGGGAGAUGGACUAGCACACUCCUCCUGCCACAGGGCAGCAUGAUGCUCGAUUCCCUCAGAAGGAUGUCCUUCAUCUUUUCCAUGCCGUGUGUGUUCACCCUGACCCUCCCAGCAGCCUGGGAAGGGCAGAACACUGCACACACAAGAGGGCCGUUCCCAGUCUGCACAUUCCAGGUUCAUCUGUCGCCAGACCCACGGGAGGAGGCAGACUGGUUCCAGGAGGAUGAGAGCCCUUGUUCUGACACCUGUGUCUGAUUCCAGGGCCUACAAAUCCGCUCUGGACUACACCAAACGAAGUCUGGAGAUUUUCAUUGACCUCCAGAGGAAAGAGGAGGCGCAUGCCUGGCUGCAAGCAGGGAAGAUCUAUUACAUCCUGCGGCAGAGCGAGCUGGUGGACCUGUACAUCCAGGUGGCACAGAAUGUGGACCUGUACACAGGCGACCCCAACCUGGGGCUGGAGCUGUUUGAGGCAGCUGGAGACAUCUUCAAUGGGGCCUGGGAGUGGGAGGAAGGCAUGUCCUUCUACCGGGUGAGCUGGCCUGUGGGCUGAUGUG
rnacentral:lncRNA from 10 species